AGUGGUCAAGGAUUGAGUGGACUUGUUGUUUGUUUGGUAGCAUGUAGGCCCAUGUGUAUCUGCUAUAAUCAUCCACAAUAGUGAGCAUAUAUCUGGCACCAGUUAAAGAAGUAAUUGGAUAAGGUCCCCAUAGGUCAAUAUGUACUAAAUCAAAUAUGCCUUUAACAUUAUUACAACUUGGAUAAAAUGGUAGUCUUUGUUGUUUUGCAAAAGGGCAAACAUUACAAGUAAGAGUACCACUGCUUGUAUUAAAAUUCAUUAUAUGAUUUUGUCUAGCCAUUGAGAUAUGACCCAAUCUAAGAUGCCAUAAUAGUCUCAAAUGAUCAUCAUGUGUAGUACAAGUAAGUAGAGCUUCAGUACUACUAACAGGCACAAAACACUUCUUAUCAAGAAAAUACAAGCCUCCACUUAACUUGCCAAUAGCUACUACUUCAUCAGUCUGCAAAUCCUAUAAUAAACAGUGGUCAGGUAGGGUUUUUACUGAUAUUGCAUUGUCUUUUGCAAGGGCUGAUGCAGAUAAUAAAUUGCAUUUGAAUGUUGGUAUAUAUAACACAUCCUUUAACACCAAUCUGUCAUGUAUUUUGAUCUUGCCAAUAUGUGUUAUAGUUCUGGUGGAGUUAUCAGGUAAGGUUACUAUUCUAGGUUUGGGUAAUUUGGUUAAUGUAUGAAAUAGAUGAUGCAUGUAUGUCAUAUGAUCAGUUGCACCAUUGUCAACAAUCCAUGGAACUAAUUCACAUUUAUCAUGCACAUUAUAAUGAAAAAGAGAGACAAUACCUGCAAAACUGACUGCAUUGGCUAUAGGUGUGUCUCCUGCAUUAUCAUCAUACUGCAUUUUAUCUUUGAAUGCACGCUGGAUCUCCAUUCUCACCAUUCUGGACACAUCAUUUUCAUUGCCUCCUGAAUUAGCAUUCAGCUGUGCAUCACUUGCUUGGCCAUAAUGUGCUUGAAUUUUCUUCUUCUUUUUGAGUUCAGUAAACCAAUCUGGAUAACCAGUUAGUUU